GCUUUUUGAUGUCAGGUUCAUGUUAUGGGUUAUGCCUGAUAAAUGAUAUGAUAUGCAUGGCUUUAUGCUAGAGCAAAGCGACAUGACUAAUGCAUGAUGAUGAUUUAUGUAAUGAUUGGAAGGUUUCAAUAUGAUAUGCAUGGCUUUAUGCUAGAGCAAAGCGACAUGACUAAUGCAUGAUGAUGAUUUAUGUAAUGAUUGGAAGGUUUCCAAAAUGCCCCUGCGCGGGUAUUGGAAGAGAAG
rnacentral:lncRNA from 1 species